rnacentral:rRNA from 1 species
GUGAGGAAUUUUCCGCAAUGGGCGAAAGCCUGACGGAGCAAUGCCGCGCGAAGGAUGAAGGCCUAUGGGUUGUAAACUUCUUUUCUCAGAAAAGAAUUAUGACGGUAUCUGAGGAAUAAGCAUCGGCUAACUCUGUGCCAGCAGCCGCGGUAAGACAGAGGAUGCAAGCGUUAUCCGGAAUGAUUGGGCGUAAAGCGUCUGUAGGUUGUUUAAAAAGUAUUCUGUCAAAGAUUAGGGCUUAACCCUAGAUAGGCAGAAUAAACUUUUAAGCUAGAGUUUGGUAGAGGCAGAGGGAAUUCCCGGUGGAGCGGUGAAAUGCGUAGAUAUCGGGAGGAACACCAAAGGCGAAGGCACUCUGCUGGGCCAAUACUAACACUGAGAGACGAAAGCGAGGGGAGCAAAUGGGAUUAGAAACCCUGGUAGUCC